UCAGGCCGAUCGGAAUCCCGUCGACCAGUUCGUCGCGUACGCCUUCAAGCUGCAGAAAAUCGAUCACGUCUUCGACCGCGGCGCGGUUCAACGUCUCGUCGCUGCGGGCAAGCCACCAAUAGAGCGCCGUACGUCCUACACUGGGUUUCAUGUGAAUGUGACGGCCCAGAAGGAUGUUAUCGAGUACGCUCAUACCAUUGAAGAGCGCCAGGUUCUGGAAGGUGCGGGCAA
rnacentral:misc_RNA from 1 species